rnacentral:rRNA from 1 species
GAUGAACGCUGGCGGCGUGCCUAACACAUGCAAGUCGAGCGAAGCACUUUGCUUAGAUUCUUCGGAUGAAGAGGAUUGUGACUGAGCGGCGGACGGGUGAGUAACGCGUGGGUAACCUGCCUCAUACAGGGGGAUAACAGUUAGAAAUGACUGCUAAUACCGCAUAAGACCACAGCACCGCAUGGUGCGGGGGUAAAAACUCCGGUGGUAUGAGAUGGACCCGCGUCUGAUUAGCUAGUUGGUAAGGUAACGGCUUACCAAGGCGACGAUCAGUAGCCGACCUGAGAGGGUGACCGGCCACAUUGGGACUGAGACACGGCCCAAACUCCUACGGGAGGCAGCAGUGGGGAAUAUUGCACAAUGGGGGAAACCCUGAUGCAGCGACGCCGCGUGAGCGAAGAAGUAUUUCGGUAUGUAAAGCUCUAUCAGCAGGGAAGAAAAUGACGGUACCUGACUAAGAAGCACCGGCUAAAUACGUGCCAGCAGCCGCGGUAAUACGUAUGGUGCAAGCGUUAUCCGGAUUUACUGGGUGUAAAGGGAGCGUAGACGGAUGGGCAAGUCUGAUGUGAAAACCCGGGGCUCAACCCCGGGACUGCAUUGGAAACUGUUCAUCUAGAGUGCUGGAGAGGUAAGUGGAAUUCCUAGUGUAGCGGUGAAAUGCGUAGAUAUUAGGAGGAACACCAGUGGCGAAGGCGGCUUACUGGACAGUAACUGACGUUGAGG